rnacentral:rRNA from 1 species
AGUGAACGCUGGCGGCAGGCCUAACACAUGCAAGUCGAACGGCCCCCCAGUAAGAGCUCGCUCUUACGAGUGGCGAGUGGCGGCCGGGUGAGGAAUACAGCGGAAUCUACUUUUUCGUGGGCGAAAACGUAGGGAAACUUUAGCUAAUAACGCAUAUCACCUACGGGUUAAAGCAGGGGUUCUUCGCACCUUGCGCGAUUGACUGAGCCCAGGUCCGAUGAGCUAGAUGGCGGGGGAAAGGCCCACCAAGGCUACGAUCGGUAGCUGGUAUGAGAGAGUCAACAGGCAGACGGGAUGUGAGACACGGCACAGACUCCUACGGUAGGCAGCAGUGGGGAAUAUUGCGCGAGGGGCGCAAGCCGAAUCCAGCCAAACCGCGUGAGUGAAGAAGGCCUUAGGGUUGGAGAGUCCUGUUGUUGGUAAAGAAAAACAGCACUUUAAUACCCCACUGUUCUGACGGUACCCAAAGAAUAAGCACCGGCUAACUUCGUG